UCCCACACGGAUCUAGGCGCGCAGGGGCCAAGCAGGGACGCAGCCCAGUGGCUCCAGCCGCGCCGUCCUGCCCCCUCCUCCCGCAGAAACUGAUGUUCUGAGAGGCCAAGCAGUUUGCCCAAGAUUACACAAAUAAUUUGAGUCUAAUAGUGGAGCUAAAAAAUACAGAAAUUAUAGUGCAAAGUGGAAUGUGAAAAAGAUUACAUGAGUGAGAACCUCACAUUCCAUUGAGAAAAGGACAAGGAAACAGAUCAUCUCAAUAGUGAGGUGUCAUUUGAUGACUGCAAUCAAGCCAUCAAGGCAGGCUUCUUGGAAGAGGCAGUACAUGAACUACAGAUGGAGUCUCACUCUGUCACCCAGGCUGGAGUGCAGU